rnacentral:rRNA from 1 species
CGAUCGGUAGCCGGACUGAGAGGUUGAACGGCCACAUUGGGACUGAGACACGGCCCAGACUCCUACGGGAGGCAGCAGUGGGGAAUAUUGCACAAUGGGGGAAACCCUGAUGCAGCGACGCCGCGUGGAGGAAGAAGGUCUUCGGAUUGUAAACUCCUGUUGUUGAGGAAGAUAAUGACGGUACUCAACAAGGAAGUGACGGCUAACUACGUGCCAGCAGCCGCGGUAAAACGUAGGUCACAAGCGUUGUCCGGAAUUACUGGGUGUAAAGGGAGCGCAGGCGGGAAGACAAGUUGGAAGUGAAAUCCAUGGGCUUAACCCAUGAACUGCUUUCAAAACUGUUUUUCUUGAGUAGUGCAGAGGUAGGCGGAAUUCCCGGUGUAGCGGUGGAAUGCGUAGAUAUCGGGAGGAACACCAGUGGCGAAGGCGGCCUACUGGGCACCAACUGACGCUGAGGCUCGAAAGUGUGGGUAGCAAACAGGAUUAGAUACCCUGGUAGUCCACACCGUAAACGAUGAUUACUAGGUGUUGGAGGAUUGACCCCUUCAGUGCCGCAGUUAACACAAUAAGUAAUCCACCUGGGGAGUACGACCGCAAGGUUGAAACUCAAAGGAAUUGACGGGGGCCCGCACAAGCAGUGGAGUAUGUGGUUUAAUUCGACGCAACGCGAAGAACCUUACCAAGUCUUGACAUCCUGUGACAGACGUAGAAAUACGUUCUUCCUUCGGGACACAGAGACAGGUGGUGCAUGGUUGUCGUCAGCUCGUGUCGUGAGAUGUUGGGUUAAGUCCCGCAACGAGCGCAACCCUUAUGGUCAGUUACUACGCAAGAGGACUCUGGCCAGACUGCCGUUGACAAAACGGAGGAAGGUGGGGAUGACGUCAAAUCAUCAUGCCCUUUAUGACUUGGGCUACACACGUACUACAAUGGCGUUAAACAAAGAGAAGCAAGACCGCGAGGUGGAGCAAAACUCAGAAACAACGUCCCAGUUCGGACUGCAGGCUGCAACUCGCCUGCACGAAGUCGGAAUUGCUAGUAAUCGUGGAUCAGCAUGCCACGGUAAAUACGUUCCCGGGCCUUGUACACACCGCCCGUCACACCAUGAGAGCCGGGGGGACCCGAAGUCGGUAGUCUAACCGCAAGGAGGACGCCGCCGAAGGUAAAACUGGUGAUUGGGGUGAAGUCGUAACAAGGUAGCCGUAGGAGAACCUGCGGCUG